AGCACUUGUGCGUGUGUGUUUGUUUAAUUUUAACAAAGCCAUACUGACAGGUGCAAGCAGUAAAUUCUCUUUUGCAACCCAGAACUCAUUGUGGAAUAUGAGAUUGUGACACAGGUAAGAAAGAAUAUG